rnacentral:lncRNA from 1 species
AGUUUAGCAGUUUGGAACAGUUGGAGCCCUUCUAAAUGUCCGUUUGAGCUCAAAUUUGACAGGCAGGCUCGGUUUAACGUACUGAGAAAGAAUAUAUCUUAAUUUUUCAGUUUCGACCCCGUUUAGUCACUGCAAAUUGUACCAAACUGUAAUCUUUAUCAGAUAGUUAUCGAAUUUUAUUUUCGACCUUCCGGGUGUCAGAAUGACAUGAAAUUUUAAUUCUGGCUUAUCCUCCAGUUUUCAUAAUUUUCUGACACCGUGCAUUUUCAACUAAUUUAUCUGUCCCGUUUCUAACAGAAAAUUCUAAAUCUUCUAUUUUCAUUCCGAUUUCAGCACAAGUCAAUUCCGACUUAUGUUUUACUUCUCUAAAUCCAAUAAAAAUAGUUUCUCUUACUAUUUUUAUUUAUUUUUAUUUUUAUACCAAAAUCUGGUUUGUUACACGUA